AUACGUAGGGCGCAAGCGUUAUCCGGAAUCAUUGGGCGUAAAGAGCUCGUAGGCGGUUUGUCGCGUCUGCUGUGAAAACCCGAGGCUCAACCUCGGGCCUGCAGUGGGUACGGGCAGACUAGAGUGCGGUAGGGGAGAUUGGAAUUCCUGGUGUAGCGGUGGAAUGCGCAGAUAUCAGGAGGAACACCGAUGGCGAAGGCAGAUCUCUGGGCCGUAACUGACGCUGAGGAGCGAAAGGGUGGGGAGCAAACAGGCUUAGAUACCCUGGUAGUCCACCCCGUAAACGUUGGGAACUAGUUGUGGGGUCCAUUCCACGGACUCCGUGACGCAGCUAACGCAUUAAGUUCCCCGCCUGGGGAGUACGGCCGCAAGGCUAAA
rnacentral:rRNA from 1 species